rnacentral:rRNA from 1 species
UACAGAGACUCCAAGCGUUAUUCGGAUUCACUGGGCGUAAAGGGAGCGCAGGCGGUCAGAUGUGUCAGGUGUGAAAUACUGCAGCUUAACUGUAGAACUGCACUUGAAACUAUUUGACUAGAGUAUCGGAGAGGUAAGCGGAAUUCCAGGUGUAGCAGUGAAAUGCGUAGAUAUCUGGAGGAACACCAAUGGCGAAGGCAGCUUACUGGACGAUUACUGACGCUCAGGCUCGAAAGCAUGGGGAGCGAAAGGG